rnacentral:rRNA from 1 species
GAUGAACGCUAGCGGCAGGCUUAAUACAUGCAAGUUGAGGGGCAGCAUGAUAUACGCGAGUAUAUUGAUGGCGACCGGCGGACGGGUGAGUAAUAGGUAGGAGACCUACCUCAUACAGGGGGAUAGCAUAGAGAAAUCUGUGGUAAUACCCCAUGAGGUUAUAUGAAUAGAGGCAUAUAAUCAAAGCAUAAGCGAUUAUGCGGUAUGAGAGGGGCCUACUGACCAUUAGCUAGUUGGUGAGGUAAGGGCUCACCAAGGCGAAGAUGGUUAGGGGUUUUGAGAGAGAGACCCCCCACAUUGGAACUGAGAGACGGUCCAGACUCCUACGGGAGGCAGCAGUAGGGAAUAUUGGGCAAUGGGCGAAAGCCUGACCCAGCCAUGCCGCGUGAAGGAAGACGGCCUUAUGGGUUGUAAACUUCUUUACUACGCGAACAGAGGUUAGUACGAGAUACUAAUAGGAAGGUAGUGUAGUAAAAGCACCGGCUAACUCCGUG